AGAAACCACCAUUCCGGGGCUCUUUGCCAUCAACUUCUUUCUAAGCUGAUCCUUUAUCAGGCAAUGCUAUUUAGUUAAGGCUACCAGUCAUCGAUUUUUUCAUAUGGCUUCCAAAUUAAUCUUUAUCCAGUUGUAAGAGAAAUUACAUUGUGAUGUCAGCAAAUUAUCAUAGAAUUUGUAUUAAAUUUAAAUAUAUUAUUAUAGGCAUUUUUCCUUUAAAUAUUACAUUAUUCCAUUUAGAGUUUGCAAAACCCCAGGGCUUGAUGGAGUGAGUGGAGAGAAGUCCUUGAGAUCGCAGCACAGACAGAAGAACUAGUAAUAUCAAAGAGCUUCAAGAAAACAGGAAAGGAAAAUCUUAGUAGGCUAAGGAUGAAGCAAUUCGUGUGAAGUCCUCAGGCAGAGAGGCUGGCCUGAGAAAGAAGUAGAAUUCUUUCUUUGGCAAAGCAGCAAGAAGGGAAGGAGAAAUCAAGAUUGGAAGGAAGAAGAUGCGUGCUUUCUUUGGGCACCGCCUCCUGAUCACCUUUGAAGAAAUCGCCUAUACAAAAUCGCCUACACUGGUCUGACCCUCUGUUGCUAUGAUAAACACCAUGGCUAAAACCAACUUGGGGAGGAAAGGGUCGGUUUAUCUUACAGGUUAAAGUCUAUCAUCAAGGGAAUCCGUGGCAGGGGCUCAAGGCAAGAGCUUGAAGCAGAAACCACAGAGGCACACUGCUUAUUUAUUUGAUUCAUUUUCAGCUUCUUUUCUAAUAUAGGACCCAAGCCUACUCAUCUAGGGAUGGUAGCACCCACAGUGGGCUGGACCCUGCAAUAUAAAUCAAUAUAUCAGUCAAUAUAUAAAUCAAUAAACCAGUCAAGACAAUACCACA